rnacentral:rRNA from 16 species
GCUUACGGCCAUACCAGCCUGUACGCCCGAUCUCGUCCGAUCCUGAAAAAUAAACAUGCUUGGGCUUGGCCAGUACUUGGAUGGGUGACCGCCUGGGAACACCGAGUGCUGUAAGCU